rnacentral:rRNA from 1 species
AAUAUUGCGCAAUGAGGGGAACCUUGACGCAGCAACGCCGCGUGAGCGACGAAGGCCUUCGGGUCGUAAAGCUCUGUCUUAAGGGAUGAUAAUGACAGUACCUUAAGAGGAAGCCCCGGCUAACUACGUGCCAGCAGCCGCGGUAAUACGUAGGGGGCAAGCGUUAUCCGGAAUCAUUGGGCGUAAAGGGUGCGUAGGCUGCCCUAUAGGUCAGAGGUCAAAGGCUACGGCUCAACCGUAGUAAGCCUUUGAAACUGUAGGGCUUGAGUGCAGGAGAGGAGAGUGGAAUUCCUAGUGUAGCGGUGAAAUGCGUAGAUAUUAGGAGGAACACCAGUGGCGAAGGCGACUCUCUGGACUGCAACUGACGCUGAGGCACGAAAGCGUGGGUAGCGAACA